CUCAAUUUGAAGGAGCAAACCAACGAACUGUGCAUUUCUUUCCCUCGAUUUGAAUCGCUUUCCUUACUUCGAUCGACCCACCCCAGCUUCUUCUCUCUUAGAGAUCCAUAGCAGAUUCUCUCCCUCUUUUCCAGCCUCUCCAAUCGAUCCCAAUUAUUCUCUUCCUCCUCUCUCAAACCUUAGAUCUAGGAUCAAAGUCUGCUAUUCAAAAUUAAAUCGUCAAUCCCUUCAUUUCCUUGCUCCCAAAAAAUCCGUAGGAUUGAUGGAUAUCUGUUGCUCCAGUUCAAGGUAACAUUUUUUACCUAAUUCUCUUUGAUUUCAAUAUAAAAGUAAUGCAUCAAUCAAAUGUAUAAGUUUUUAAGAAAAAUUACCUGAAACACCAAAGUCUAUAAGUCGAUGACGUGUUUUUAAAAAAAAAUUAACAAACAUUUUUUAUUAAGUAUUAAAGUUUGAAAUUAAUACAACCAUAAAUCUAUAAGUCAAUAACACAAACACAAAUCAAAUAUUCACAUCAAUAAAAUAUUAUAAAUGUUUAAUUUCAAAAGUUUAUACAACUUGUCUUUUACUUUCACCAACUCAACCUACAGUAAUUGUUACUAGCCUACAUUGUUUAAAAAUAAAAAAUAAUCAAGAUAUGGUAUUCAAUUAAAUAAUAAUACUUCAUAAAUGUCUAUUUUUUUAAAAGAAAAUUAAAAGGAUAGAUAGGCUGUAAACAUGUUAGAGAAAUUUAACCAUAACCUAACCUAUUUAAUUAAACAUGUUAGAUGGAUUGAGUUGUAAUUAAAUGAAUUGAAAUUUUCAACCUAACCUACAAAUUAUUAGGCUAGAUUCGGAUUGAAUUGACGGGUUCAUUUAAAUAUCCUCAUUUCAACUAUAUAAAGAAAAAAAAUUACAAUAUUAUAUGCUAUGAAACAAUUAUUUAGCUCCCAUAAUUUACCAAUCAAUCAAUACUUUGCCUAUAUCACACACUAAUAAUCUAUGUUUUGAUGGAAGCUUCUGGCUAUUUAGAUUUCCUAUUUGGUUAUCAAACCACGUGAUGUGUUUUAUAUUGAUUAUUUAGAAAAUUGCCAUUAAAGUGUACACUCAAGAAAGUGUAAUGUCGGAGACGCAAUCCAGUUUCAUUAAUUUAAAUCCAAAGUUAUAAUAUAAUAUAUUUUAUAACACUCCAAAUCCGUCAUAUGAUAUUUUAUACUAAAAAACUUUAAAUAGGCAAAAAUAUAUACAUUCAAAUUUUGAAGUAUGCAACUCUGAACUCUUGGAGUUUUAUUUUUUUAUUUUUAUUUUUAUUUUUCAAUUGGAUUUGACAUUUUAAUCAAAAAGCUCCUCUCUCAUUUCAUGAUGGUUUUGUGAGACACAAAAUCGGUUUGUACUCAAAACUAAGGAGGAUUUAAAUACAAUUCAUUUCAUGUCAAUUGAAUUAAGGGGGAAUUUUGGCUUCAAAUUUAACCACAUAUUUUUUUUGUUACCCCAUAUUUGAAUUUUCAAAUGUUUUGUCAAAUUUGAAAGAAAAAAAAAGUCUUGUGAGAAAAAUUGGCAUUCGACCCCAUGAACAUCCAUAUCUAAAAAUGUUCACUUUUAACCGGUCCUUGUGGUUUUUUGCAUUAUAGUCCAAUGGUAACAAAAUAAUAUUUGUUAGGUGUUACAUGUUCAUAGUAAAGAUUUAUAAAAAGUAUUUGUAGUGAUAAGGAAUAUCAUGUCAAAUAUGUUAAGUUGUAGAGACUCAAUCAUCUUUGACCCUAUAACCGUCAGUUCCUUUAUAGAAACGGCAUCAAAACAUGUCAUGAGCCAGUUCUGUCAGUGUUUUCUGUUUUCUUGACUUUGUCUUAUUGACAGUUUUCACUCAAACAAACAUUAAAUUCGUGUAACCUAACAUAUUAGACAACUAUUUAGCAUAAAGCAAUAAAUCUAUCUUUUUUGUUCACUGUGGACGUAAUCAAUCAUCAUAAUCGUGUGAACCACGAAAAUUAAUUGUGUCUUUGUUUUUCGUUUACAUUUAUUACUCCCUUAAAGAAAUCUUUUAUCGUUUGUUGAAAUACUUAAACAGUUAAACUUUAACAAAAUCUUUUCAAACACAGCAAAAUACGAUGAUAUUUAUGAUUGUCAUAAAAGAAAAACAGUGUUGUUUUUAAUAGAUACGCCAAUUUUAGUAUUAUAAGUUAGAAUAGUUAAUAUUAACUUUUUAAAACAAAACAAUGUUACUUAUUUACACUCAACACCCUAAUUGUUUACAAUUUUGAAAAAAGGUAGGCCAAAACAAGGUCAAUAAGGGACCCAUGUGUGAUAUUUUUCUAAUUUACAACACUAUGUCUGUUGAAUUGCAACAGAAAAUUUCAGAAAAAACAUGUGAACAACGCUAAUUGUCAUCUUAGUCUAAAUUAAUGGAAAAGAUGGUCAAAUUCCUGCAAUGAAAUGUCAUAUUAUGACUUUUUUUUUUUUUCCAAACACUUGAUUAUAUAAAGGAUUAAGCAAAAGUAACCCUGAAAUAAACAUGGGUUUGACCCAAAAAUAUCAAUUCAAAGAAAUCACAAACUAUUUAUAUUUAUAUGAUUAAACAAGUCUAAGUUGAAUUAGUUCAGACUUUUGUUAUUUUUCAAAUUGGUUCUAAAACCAUCUAAAAGGGUUUGGUACUACAGGGUUAAAGCGAUAUAAAUGAUAAUAUAUUAAAUUUAAGCAUGGUAAUUAGUUCAGACUUUUAUUAUUUUUCAAAGUUAGUUCUAAAACAAUCAAAAAGAAUUUAAAGAGAUAUACAUGAUAAUAUAUUAAAUUUAAACAGGGUUAGUUGUUAUGACUCAUGGUGGACCUUGAACAAUUAAUUUGGGGGUCGAAACAAAAUUACCGUUCUUAUAAAAACCAAGGGGGCUACAAUCCAAAUUUUAUAUUUUUAGGUCUAAUAUUUAUAAAAAUUAGUACGCUAUCACUACUUUUAAACAACAAAAAAACAAAAACAAAAACAAAAAAACAAGAGGGGUCACAACCCUUUCUACCCUUAAUAAGGUUCAUCAUUGGACUCGUGCAGUUUGAUAGAACUUUAAUGUCCCUAUGGCGCUUAAUAAGCUUCAUCCAUGGAGAGUUUGAUAGAACUUUAACAACGCAAAUACUUAACCAUUAAAAGGCUUGAAAUAGUCAUCUGAAUAAUUUAAUUUUGUUUUGUAAGAUUGUUCAACAGGUCAAUGAAAAUUUAUUUUAUCAUUUUAACUUUCUGCUUAUAAAACUAAUUACUAACAAACUAUCCAAAAAUUACAAAAUUGAUACCAAAAUACAUACCAAAACUUAAAUAAGAUAUAAAUUUUGAAUAAAGGAGCAAAUUUUGAACAAUUGCAGUUCAUCAACACUACUUUUAUUCCUUUAAAAAUGAAAAAAAAAUUAUGCUUUUUGGGAUGCUACAAAUGGGGGAAGAAGCGGGCGGCGCCAACUGGAAAAGAAGCAUGUGGCAUUAAGAACCUUGACAGCAGUGAUAACCAGAGAAGAAGAUGGUGUUUGUCUGUGUAUUUUUUGGGGUUGCCUAUGAGUUUAGAAAGAAAGAAUUAUACGACGACUUCUAAGAAAAAUAUAAGGGUGUUUAUGUUAUUGGGUAAUAAGGGUACACAAAAAAAAGGUUCAAACAUAAUUUUUAGUUGAAUGGUUUAGAUGCUCAUGCCCAGUUGCCCAAUUCAAUUCAGAGUCUUAAAUUUGGCUUAAAUUUGACGAAUCAAACUAUCUUAGUAGUUGAACGAUUUAGAGGGGUUAAGUGUGAAUGGAAGUAUUAACAAAGUGUCAAACAUGGCUAAUAAUAUCAGGGGCGCACCUUUUAUGGGGCCACGAGGGGUUGNAACAACGCCAGGGGCGCACCUUUUAUGGGCCCAGGAGGGGUUGUGGCCCUCCCUGAAUUUUGGGCUAGAAGUUGGAUAUAUGUGUUUAAUUUUCGGAAUUAUAGGCCCAUCAAUGUGAGUUUUGGGUUGUGGCCCCUCAUGGUCGACUGAUCCAAUGUUCCGAUCCAAGAGAGAAGCAAUCAUCGACAUCGUUCAAUCAGUAAAGCUUCCGCCCCCCCCCCCCCNNNNNNCCCCCCCCCCUCCUUAAUUCUUCGCUCAAUCGCUAGUCGCUAAUUACAAAAUCGAACAUGUGGACUUCGCCAAAUCGAAGUUGUUCAUCGCCUGCUGGCUACUGCUACCUGCUGCUGUUCUGCACGAUUGCACAGCUGCAAUUCGGGUGCAAUCCCUAUCAUCAAUUCUUCGCUACUUAGUAAUCAGGUAUGCUUUCAGCUUUCAAUUCGGCUGUUGUUUCAACCUCAAUUCUUGACUUCUUUCCUGUUUCAGCCUUUCAGGGAUUGAGAAUUCUUUCUUUUAUAAUUUAUAUUGCACUUUGUCACACCCCAAAACCGAGAACGGCGAAAACGUUAUGGGGCGGAGGACGUCAUGUAAAGUAUCACAACACAGUAUAACAGUAAACAAGCAAACAACAUCAUCCAUUGCAUUAAAUAUAUAAUUUUAAUACAAGCGUGUUCCGUACAGUUAUAGACACCAAAAAGUAAAUCAAAAUAAUAAGAUGAGUCUUGAAUGCGCUCCAUCUUCUCAAAAGUUGGCCUCGGUACCUGUCUACUAAUGACCUGAGAAUACAAGUUAUUUUGAAGGAGUUUAUCAGCAUUAAGCUGGUGAGUUCAUAAGUAUUUUAGUGUCGGUGUUUGUAUCAAAACGUAUGAACGUGGUUUAAAGUAUGAGUUUGUAAACAAUGGUGAUAAAAGUAGGUGAAUGUUUGUAAGUGUUUGUAAAAGUUUGAAUCUCUUAGAAAAACCUAUAUUUUCUAUUAAUAGUAGCCUUAUACCAAGGCGUAACUGUUUUGUAUGUUCGUUUAUUGUAAAAGUGUGUAAUCUUCCCAAGUGUAACUAUCAUUAACAAAAUAUAGUUUGUACAUUAAUGUUUAAGUGAAAUGAUCACUAAAUAUAUGUAAAGGGUAAAUUAAUGUAGUACUGUAGUGUUGUAUUAUCGAAACUACUGUUGUACUAACUACCUUAAACCGGAUUUGUAUUAAGGUAUUAUGUGAUUUAUUGUACCAUACUAUUGACUAUGUAACACGACAAUGUAGGUCGUAAAAAGGUAAGACGUAUGGCACCCGCAGACCUGCAGGUCCGGCUGUAGCUAGCAGCAAGGUGUAGGAUAGUCAAUCCAGUAUAGAUCUAUACGCAAACUCACGCUCUCCCUCCAAGAGACUCUGGCUACAACUCGGGCCAUGACAUUGAAGGCAUGCUCCGAUACAAUGGAUCAC
rnacentral:lncRNA from 1 species